GCUUUUUUUGCUGACSAGKGGCGGACGGGUGAGUAAWGCUUGGGAAUCUGGCUUAUGGAGGGGGAUAACUGUGGGAAACUGCAGCUAAUACCGCGUAUAAUCGAGAGAUGAAAGGGUGGGACCGUAAGGCCACUUGCCAUAAGAUGAGCCCAAGUGGGAUUAGGUAGUUGGUGGGGUAAAGGCCUACCAAGCCUGCGAUCUCUAGCUGGUCUGAGAGGAUGGCCAGCCACACUGGGACUGAGACACGGCCCAGACUCCUACGGGAGGCAGCAGUGGGGAAUAUUGCGCAAUGGGGGGAACCCUGACGCAGCCAUGCCGCGUGAAUGAAGAAGGCCUUCGGGUUGUAAAGUUCUUUCGGUGAUGAGGAAGGGGUAUUAUUGAAUAGAUAAUAUCAUUGACGUUAAUUACAGAAGAAGCACCGGCUAACUCCGUGCCAGCCSCCGCGGUAAA
rnacentral:rRNA from 1 species